rnacentral:rRNA from 1 species
GACGAACGCUGGCGGCGUGCCUAAUACAUGCAAGUCGAGCGGAUGACGGAGGAGCUUGCUCCUCCUGAUUCAGCGGCGGACGGGUGAGUAACACGUGGGCAACCUGCCCUGUAGAUUGGGAUAACUCCGGGAAACCGGGGCUAAUACCGAAUAAUCCUUCGGACCUCAUGGUCCGAUGUUGAAAGGCGGCUUCGGCUGGCACUACAGGAUGGGCCCGCGGCGCAUUAGCUAGUUGGUGAGGUAACGGCUCACCAAGGCCACGAUACGUAGCCGACCUGAGAGGGUGAUCGGCCACACUGGGACUGAGACACGGCCCAGACUCCUACGGGAGGCAGCAGUAGGGAAUCUUCCACAAUGGACGAAAGUCUGAUGGAGCAACGCCGCGUGAGUGAAGAAGGUUCUCGGAUCGUAAAACUCUGUUGUGAGGGAAGAACAAGUACCGGAGUAACUGCCGGUGCCUUGACGGUACCUCAUUAGAAAGCCACGGCUAACUACGUGCCAGCAGCCGCGGUAAUAC